rnacentral:misc_RNA from 1 species
ACGUGUGGACGCGUGCUGAAAACAGUUGCCGCUCUGCCGAUGCUCGCUGACUAUCUCUCUCUGUGUGUGUGUGUGUGUGUGUGUGUGUGUCUACGUACGUGUUGCGAUGCCGUGGCCGCAACAAACUUAAAGUUGAGGCAAUAGACUAAGUCAAUGCGACAUAUACCCUAACAAGCAGCUGCCAACUGAGAAUUGUCAAUCGGCCAAAACAAAUUCAAACUGAUUUGUUCCCCGAGGCAUUUGAAUUGCCAGCAAUUGCCAGUGUUUCCAGCCAGACGAUCUAUCGGAGUAUCAAAAUUCUAGACUGCACUUUCAAUUUGUUUUGAUCCAAUUACGUGCUUGUGUGUGUGUGUUUUGGCCUUUGACCUAUGCAAUCAAGUGACAAUUUGCCAAUGGAAGCCGUAAGACGUGCCACAAUGUUAAACCAAUUUGCACGAUUUACUCUCGUCUUAUAAAUAAAUUACAAACAAUUAUGAAGCAACAGCAGCAAGCCAUAAAAUAAUCAACAAAUUGUUUGGCCAAAUUCCAUAUCAAAGCCAAAUAACAAUUCCGAACACGAAUAAUUGAAAUCUUCAGUCUGUCUCCAGCAAAUAGAUGGCAAUAAAAUAGUUCUGUGUGCGUAUGUGAAUGUUCAGCAAACAAAUAAUAAAAUAAAAUAAGAAAAUAGCAGAAAGCAGCACAGAGAACGCAUAUAAGGAACAAACGGAGCAGGACGAAGCACAAGAAGGCGAGAAGGCAGCUGGGUGGCAGCGAUAG